AGCUUUGCGCAGUGGCAGUAUUGUAGCCCAUGAGGUUUAUCCGAGGCGCGAUUAUUGCUAGUUGAAAACUUGACCCAAUACCCUGCCUUGACGACUUGAAAUAUAGUUGGCUAUGGCAAUUUUUCACAGUCUCUACGGAGA